AGAAAAUCCCAGAUGAUCAUUCUAAUCUGAACAAGUGGCAAAAGAACAUGUUUAUGGUAGUGAAUGAAGAUCAAGAUUUUAGCGUUGUUUAAAUCACAAAGAAACCCAAAGAACAGAUUGCAUCGUGAGCUCCUGCUACCAGGCUUCAGAUGCUGCAACUCAAAUCUCAUCCCUGAGUGAGUUCCCUGAACAGAUCCCGGCUCCCACUUUGGCUGGCAAGCUCCCCUAACAAGGCAGCUGAGUUUGUUAGAUAUGUAAUAUCCAGCACACCAGGAACAGAUCCCAGCCUCCACUCUGGCUGGAAAGCUACCUUAACAAGACAUCGGAGGGUAGGAAAUGUGUGUGUCUCCUGCCAUCCACCAUCAUCCCAUCAAUGGGUCAAAAGAGUGAGUAAGUGUGGCUCUUGGGUUGGCAUCACAUUUAAUGAAAACCAUACAGCUCUUGGGAGCUGAACAGUCCUUGCACUAGACAGGACUGCAAGCAAGG